GAGUCUUAAGGGUGUACACCAGGUCAUGGGUGGCACUGAACUGGGGGGCAGAAGAGGAGCUUGGUAUCCUAAGACUUCAGGAAGUCCUGCAGAUAGUUGAAAAUUGAUAACAAGUGAUGCCAGAGACUCUCUUCAGAAGAUUAAACCAUGCUCCAGACUGAGGUGGCUCUGGAUGAGUUCACUCUGAUGUCCAAGGCUCUUUCAUAUAACUCAUUUCAUCUUCAGGGCACCUCUGCAAGGAAAGACUCAUUCAUCUUAGUGGAGCGGAGCUGUAUUCCCAAUCCCAAUCCCAACUGUGGGUAAGAGGGAGAAAGAAGAAAUGUC